CCUACGGGGGGCAGCAGUGAGGAAUAUUGGUCAAUGGACGAGAGUCUGAACCAGCCAAGUAGCGUGAAGGAUGACUGCCCUAUGGGUUGUAAACUUCUUUUAUAUGGGAAUAAAAUGUUCCACGUGUGGGGUUUUGUAUGUACCAUAUGAAUAAGGAUCGGCUAACUCCGUGCCAGCAGCCGCGGUAAUACGGAGGAUCCGAGCGUUAUCCGGAUUUAUUGGGUUUAAAGGGAGCGUAGGUGGAUUGUUAAGUCUGUUGUGAAAGGUUGCGGCUAAACCGUAAAAUUGCAGUUGAAACUGGCAGUCGUGAGUACGGUAGAGGUAGGCGGAAUUCGUGGUGUAGCGGUGAAAUGCGUAGAUAUAUGGAAGAACACCAGUGGCGAAGGCGGCCGCCUGGCGUGUUGCUGACGCUGAGGCACGAAGGCGUGGGGAGCAAAUAGGAUUAGAUACCCUGGUAGUC
rnacentral:rRNA from 1 species